rnacentral:lncRNA from 1 species
UAAUUAAAUCUCAAUCAAAAUCUAGUCAAAUCUUAAUCAAAUUUUUGUCAAAUCUUAAUAAAUCUCUAUAUAAGCUUUAACCAAAUCCUAGACAAAUCUUAAUCAAAUUCUAGUCAAAUCCGAAUCAAAUCCUAAUCAAACGUUAAACAAACUCUAAUCAAAUUGUAAAUAAAUCUUAGUCAAAUCCUAGACAAACCCUAAAUAAGCCUUAAUCAAAUCCUAGACAAAUCCUAACUAAAUCCUAACCAAAUCCUAA